rnacentral:rRNA from 1 species
UGGGGAAUAUUGCACAAUGGGCGAAAGCCUGAUGCAGCGACGCCGCGUGAGGGAUGACGGCCUUCGGGUUGUAAACCUCUUUCAGCAGGGACGAAGCGCAAGUGACGGUACCUGCAGAAGAAGCACCGGCUAACUACGUGCCAGCAGCCGCGGUAAUACGUAGGGUGCAAGCGUUGUCCGGAAUUACUGGGCGUAAAGAGUUCGUAGGCGGUUUGACGCGUCGUUUGUGAAAACCAGCAGCUCAACUGCUGGCUUGCAGGCGAUACGGGCAGACUUGAGUACUGCAGGGGAGACUGGAAUUCCUGGUGUAGCGGUGAAAUGCGCAGAUAUCAGGAGGAACACCGGUGGCGAAGGCGGGUCUCUGGGCAGUAACUGACGCUGAGGAGCGAAAGCGUGGGUAGCGAACAGG